rnacentral:rRNA from 1 species
GAUGAACGCUAGCGGCAGGCCUAAUACAUGCAAGCUGAACGGUAAAUGUUGUAGCAAUACGAUAUGAGAGUAGCGUAAGGGUGCGUAACACGUAUGCAAUCUACCCGCAACAGGAGGAUAGCUCCCCGAAAGGGGAAUUAAUACUCCAUAAUAUCACGAGAGGGCAUCUGAUUGUGAUUAAACUCCAAGGGGUUGCGGAUGAGCAUGCGUCUGAUUAGUUAGUUGGUGAGGUAACGGCUCACCAAGACGAUGAUCAGUAGGGGAACUGAGAGGUUGAUCCCCCACACUGGCACUGAGCUACGGGCCAGACUCCUACGGGAGGCAGCAGGAGGGAAUAUUGGUCAAUGGGUGAGAGCCUGAACCAGCCAUGCCGCGUGCAGGAAGAAAGCCUUCUGGGUUGUAAACUGCUUUUGCCAGGGGAUAAAAUACCCAUGCGUGGGGAAUUGAAGGUACCUGGUGAAUAAGCCACGGCUAACUACGUGCCAGCCGCCGCCGUAACAC